rnacentral:rRNA from 1 species
GAUGAACGCUGGCGGCGUGCCUAAUACAUGCAAGUCGAGCGAACAGACGCGGAGCUUGCUCCUCUGACGUUAGCGGCGGACGGGUGAGUAACACGUGGAUAACCUACCUAUAAGACUGGGAUAACUUCGGGAAACCGGAGCUAAUACCGGAUAAUAUCUUGAACCGCAUGGUUCAAUAGUGAAAGACGGUUUUGCUGUCACUUAUAGAUGGAUCCGCGCCGCAUUAGCUAGUUGGUAAGGUAAAGGCUUACCAAGGCUACGAUGCGUAGCCGACCUGAGAGGGUGAUCGGCCACACUGGAACUGAGACACGGUCCAGACUCCUACGGGAGGCAGCAGUAGGGAAUCUUCCGCAAUGGGCGAAAGCCUGACGGAGCAACGCCGCGUGAGUGAUGAAGGUCUUCGGAUCGUAAAACUCUGUUAUUAGGGAAGAACAAAUGUGUAAGUAACUAUGCACGUCUUGACGGUACCUAAUCAGAAAGCCACGGCUAACUACGUG